GAGUAAUGUCUGGGAAACUGCCUGAUGGAGGGGGAUAACUACUGGAAACGGUGGCUAAUACCGCAUAACGUCGCAAGACCAAAGAGGGGGACCUUCGGGCCUCUUGCCAUCAGAUGUGCCCAGAUGGGAUUAGCUUGUUGGUGAGGUAACGGCUCACCAAGGCGACGAUCCCUAGCUGGUCUGAGAGGAUGACCAGCCACACUGGAACUGAGACACGGUCCAGACUCCUACGGGAGGCAGCAGUGGGGAAUAUUGCACAAUGGGCGCAAGCCUGAUGCAGCCAUGCCGCGUGUAUGAAGAAGGCCUUCGGGUUGUAAAGUACUUUCAGCGGGGAGGAAGGUGUUGUGGUUAAUAACCGCAGCAAUUGACGUUACCCGCAGAAGAAGCACCGGCUAACUCCGUGCCAGCAGCCGCGGUAAUACGGAGGGUGCAAGCGUUAAUCGGAAUUACUGGGCGUAAAGCGCACGCAGGCGGUCUGUCAAGUCGGAUGUGAAAUCCCCGGGCUCAACCUGGGAACUGCAUUCGAAACUGGCAGGCUUGAGUCUUGUAGAGGGGGGUAGAAUUCCAGGUGUAGCGGUGAAAUGCGUAGAGAUCUGGAGGAAUACCGGUGGCGAAGGCGGCCCCCUGGACAAAGACUGACGCUCAGGUGCGAAAGCGUGGGGAGCAAACAGGAUUAGAUACCCUGGUAGUCCACGCCGUAAACGAUGUCUACUUGGAGGUUGUGCCCUUGAGGCGUGGCUUCCGGAGCUAACGCGUUAAGUAGACCGCCUGGGGAGUACGGCCGCAAGGUUAAAACUCAAAUGAAUUGACGGGGGCCCGCACAAGCGGUGGAGCAUGUGGUUUAAUUCGAUGCAACGCGAAGAACCUUACCUGGUCUUGACAUCCACAGAACUUUCCAGAGAUGGAUUGGUGCCUUCGGGAACUGUGAGACAGGUGCUGCAUGGCUGUCGUCAGCUCGUGUUGUGAAAUGUUGGGUUAAGUCCCGCAACGAGCGCAACCCUUAUCCUUUGUUGCCAGCGGUUAGGCCGGGAACUCAAAGGAGACUGCCAGUGAUAAACUGGAGGAAGGUGGGGAUGACGUCAAGUCAUCAUGGCCCUUACGACCAGGGCUACACACGUGCUACAAUGGCGCAUACAAAGAGAAGCGACCUCGCGAGAGCAAGCGGACCUCAUAAAGUGCGUCGUAGUCCGGAUUGGAGUCUGCAACUCGACUCCAUGAAGUCGGAAUCGCUAGUAAUCGUGGAUCAGAAUGCCACGGUGAAUACGUUCCCGGGCCUUGUACACACCGCCCGUCACACCAUGGGAGUGGGUUGCAAAAGAAGUAGGUAGCUUAACCUUCGGGAGGGCGCUUACCACUUUGUGAUUCAUGACUGGGGUGAAGUCGUAACAAGGUAACCGUAGGGGAACCUGCGGUUGGAUCACCUCCUUA
rnacentral:rRNA from 1 species